rnacentral:rRNA from 1 species
ACGAACGCUGGCGGCGUGCUUAACACCUGCAAGUCGAACGGUGAAGCGCCUUCCUUUUUGGUGGGUGUGGAUGAGUGGCGAACGGGUGAGUAACACGUGAGUAACCUGCCCCCUUCUUCUGGAUAACCGCAUGAAAGUGUGGCUAAUACGGGAUAUUCUGGGUCUGUCGCAUGAUGGGUCUGGGAAAGAUAUUGUUUCGGUGGGGGAUGGGCUCGCGGCCUAUCAGCUUGUUGGUGGGGUGAUGGCCUACCCAGGCGGUGACGGGUAGCCGGCCUGAGAGGGUGGACGGUCACACUGGGACUGAGACACGGCCCAGACUCCUACGGGCGGCAGCAGUGGGGAAUAUUGCACAAUGGGCGCAAGCCUGAUGCAGCGACGCCGCGUGAGGGAUGGAGGCCUUCGGGUUGUGAACCUCUUUCGCCAGUGAAGCAGGCCUGCCUCGUUUGUGGGUGGGUUGACGGUAGCUGGAUAAGAAGCGCCGGCUAACUACGUG